AUGGCUAGAAACAUCCCCUGGAGAUGCAAGGCGCCCAGGGCUCCUGGUAAAGAGCACAGCCAGGGAGGAAGUGCCCUGAGGCUGCUGGGCGAGCCGGAAGUGGGAGCUGUUUCUAGCACAGAGGAUGUGGCUCAAGACAAGUGGAUUAAAACUCGGCUUGAAAUUAAGUUCAUACAAUCGUUAUCCGGACAACCGUGGAUAAGUGAGUUCCUUUAACUUGUUUUGAGCCUCAGUUUCCUUGCUGGCCAAAAUAGAACUUCUUCCUGUCCUCAAGAAACUAUUAGAAAUAACCCACUGUAAAAGUUCAACUAUAAUUCAAAUUAGAGGAGCCAAAAAAAACACACAAAAAACCACCACCUGGCUCCAAUCAGAUCCUAGCACGAUCUUGUCCAAAGAAAGAGUGUGUGUUUCAGGAGGAGAACCAGCCAUCUUGGAGGCAGAGGGUAGGGACUCAGGGUGAGGGGGGCACAGGGCAGGCAUUGCAAGGAGAGCCCCUCCCCGGCCUGGGACUGUCAUCUCCAGCGCUGACUGUGCCCUGUUAUGG
rnacentral:lncRNA from 1 species